UAGCAUAUCUGCUGUGGGAAUUGAGGGGA
rnacentral:piRNA from 1 species